rnacentral:rRNA from 1 species
GACAGAGGGUGCAAACGUUGUUCGGAAUUACUGGGCGUAAAGCGAGUGUAGGCGGUUCGAUAAGUCGGAUGUGAAAGCCCCGGGCUCAACCCGGGAAGUGCACUCGAUACUGUCGAGCUAGAGUAUCGGAGAGGUUGGUGGAAUUCUCGGGUGUAGAGGUGAAAUUCGUAGAUAUCGAGAGGAACACCGGUGGCGAAGGCGGCCAACUGGACGAAUACUGACGCUGAGACUCGAAAGCGUGGGGAGCAAACAGG